rnacentral:rRNA from 1 species
CACGCCGUAAACGAUGGGUACUAGGUGUGGGUAGUUCACUCUAUCCGUGCCGCAGCAAACGCAUUAAGUACCCCGCCUGGGGAGUACGGCCGCAAGGUUAAAACUCAAAGGAAUUGACGGGGGCCCGCACAAGCAGCGGAGCAUGUGGUUUAAUUCGAAGCAACGCGAAGAACCUUACCAGGGCUUGACAUCCACAGUAGGCAUUAGAGAUAGUGCUGUGCCUCGUAAGAGGAACUGUGAGACAGGUGG